UACGAAGGGGGCUAGCGUUGCUCGGAAUCACUGGGCGUAAAGGGUGCGUAGGCGGGUCUUUUAAGUCAGGGGUGAAAUCCUGGAGCUCAACUCCAGAACUGCCUUUGAUACUGAAGAUCUUGAGUUCGGGAGAGGUGAGUGGAACUGCGAGUGUAGAGGUGAAAUUCGUAGAUAUUCGCAAGAACACCAGUGGCGAAGGCGCUCACUGGCCCGAUACUGACGCUGAGGCACGAAGCG
rnacentral:rRNA from 1 species